GACGUAGGGGGCGAGCGUUGUCCGGAUUUAUUGGGCGUAAAGGGCGCGUAGGCGGCCUGUUAAGUCGAACGUGAAAUCCCCGGGCUCAACCCGGGAACUGCGUCCGAUACUGGCAGGCUUGAAUCCGGGAGAGGGAUGCGGAAUUCCAGGUGUAGCGGUGAAAUGCGUAGAUAUCUGGAGGAACACCGGUGGCGAAGGCGGCAUCCUGGACCGGCAUUGACGCUGAGGCGCGAAAGCCAGGGGAGCAAACGGG
rnacentral:rRNA from 1 species